CACCGACCUCUCAGUUCUCUCCACACUUGAGUGUUUUUUGAUGUUUAUUUAUAGUAUAGAGCUGAAUGUUGCUAAUGAUAACAUCAUCACUAAAGAAAGAGAUCGAGGACCUCCAAAUUCAUAAUUUCUACCUACAACUAGUAUCUUUUUUUUUAUAUGACCAUGAUGUUUGGACCUCAACUAAUUCUACCAGAUACCUAUUACCUCCCACAAUGUACCUCCAAAUUGCCUUGUAUAGUUCUAUUCUAAAAAGAAAGACUCAGCAGAGACUUCACCAUUAAGAGUCUAAUAGUUUUCCUAUAUAAUGUUUCAUUCAGAGAAAGCAAAGGACUUACCAAAGAUCAUAAAUUUGCAACUGGUAUGUAUGCUACUUUAGCACAUUCAGUUGGUCUUGCCGUUACUGUAUGCGUUAUCGACGGCAUCUCUUUCUAUAUGGUCUGCUUUAUGAUUCUUCUUCCUAAAAAAAAG
rnacentral:lncRNA from 1 species